UGUAUGAGGAAGAAUCGUUGCCUACACUGUUUAAAAAAUGUCAAGUGGCGCGUAAAGUUACCAAAUUUUAAUUUGAUGUGGUUCUGUGAGUGGAGUGCGAGUUAGUUGGAACAUUAAAAUUGCAUUAAGUUCCUUUUAUUAUUAAAAUAAUUUGUGUCCGUUAAGUUACUUAAAUAGAUAAAAGUAAAGUUUUAAAGAAGUGCUAAAAUGACGAAUCGACCAACGUAUUCUCAAAUAGAAUGUUUGGUGGAAUUCCUGGAGCAAAAUCCAGGCAUAGCCAAAGGCUUGCUUCGGACCACUCAAGCCAAAUUGGAAACGAAGCGAAAAUGGGCAAGCUUGGCAACCUCCUUGAAUUCUAUUGCAGGUGCUAAUAAAGAUGGUCAAGGCUGGGCUAAGGUAUUAAAAAAUCAAUUAGACAUUAGAAUCACUAUUAUCAGGCAGUAAUUAAAUAGCAAGUAAUUUCAUUAACAUUAAUGCAUGUUUUAGUAUUGGGCUGAGAAGAAAUGUGGUUUGAAGAAACAGUGCGCACAACUCUCAUCUUCAAUGAGGCGCACUGGUGGUGGGACAGCAGACAACUUGCCAACAUUGUCUGCUCUAGAUAAAAGGUUGGUGGCAGUGAUGGGUGGACAAGAGUUUGCGACUGGCAACUCAAGCUUGGCAGUCAAUCCAUUUCCUGAAUUGCCGAGAUCUGUUGGUACAGAACCACAGGUUGUUGAA